AAGGGCGCGAGUCCGCGCGGCUGUGGGCGUCUGUGUGUGUGCGUGCGCGUGUGGGUCCGCGUGGAAGGUGCGUGCGUGGGCGCGUGAGUGUGCGUGGGGCGCGCGAGGGCCGCGCGGCCCGCCCCUCCCGGCUCCUACACGGUGAUCUUAUUUGAUCGGGCGGCGCCUCGGCCCCGCGGGGCCGCCCGAGAUGAGAAGCCCCCCUCCCGCGAAGCCGCCUGCGGGCCGGCGCUGUGCGGCGAGGCCCCGGGCGGGGUGGCGCCGCGGCCUCGGAGGCCGCGCGGGCCCCCGGGGCGCGGCGCUCGGAAGUGAUGAACUGAUCAGAUAGACGAGGCCGGGCCCGGCCCGCGCCGCUGCGUACCGAGGCGAUUCUGAUCCGA